rnacentral:rRNA from 1 species
CCCUUAGAUGUUCUGGGCCGCACGCGCGCUACACUGAUGCAUUCAACGAGUCUAAAACCUGCUCUGAUAGGGGUGGGUAAUCUUUUGAAUGUGCAUCGUGAUAGGGAUAGACUAUUGCAAUUAUUGGUCUUCAACGAGGAAUUCCUAGUAGACGUAGUUCAUCAGACUGCAUCGAUUACGUCCCUGCCCUUUGUACACACCGCCCGUCGCUCCUACCGAUUGAAUGCUCAGGUGAGCCAUUCGGACUUUCAUCAUGCUGGUUUCCAGUUUUGAUGAAGGAAAGUCUUGCGAACCUUAUCAUUUAGAGGAAGGAGAAGUCGUAACA